ACUUGUUCGUGACGUGGUCUUUUACCUGUCUAUUAGAACAAAGGUUGCAGGCCAGUCAGCCUGACAACCGUGCAUACAAUGCAGGGACUGCCGCCUACGUUUCUCUUUCUUUGAGGUUUUUGUAAGCGCUCACGCACGUACGGUCCUUUGGACCUGUGCUCCGCGAGGGCGCGGCACGAGCCGCGACGGCCGGUCGGCCUCUUUUGGUGACCUACCGUCUCAGGACGGGCGCACGGCACGAGCUGCGACGCGUAAGCGCGCUGCGUUUGACGGUUGAUCUGUCAAAUCAGGGCUUGUAGCUCAGUUGGUUAGAGCGCGCGCUUGAUAAGCGUGAGGUCGGAGGUUCAAGUCCUCCCAGGCCCACCAUAUUCCUUACCGCUCUCGCUUGAUCCGCCCCUUGGGCGGCGCUCCGCGGGGGCUCGCGGCAUGAGCCGCGACGGCCAGUCGGCCUUGCGAAGCUUCGCUUCGAAUACCUUUACGGGGGCGUAGCUCAGCUGGGAGAGCACCUGCUUUGCAAGCAGGGGGUCGUCGGUUCGAUCCCGUCCGCCUCCACCAAGGUUUUGUCAGAUGGGCAAGGACUUUUGGAUGGACUGCCAGUCGAAAUCAAAAACAUCAUUUAAAGAACCAAGUUUGCGGCUUGUUGGGCUUUGGCCUGACGGUUGCGUGUUCUGUAUGAAAUUGUGAAGAGAAGAUAUGUCCGGGUUAUUCUGGAUGUUCAAAGGUUUGUACGCCAAGUACAGACCGCUAGGUCGUCGCGGCUUGCCGCGCGCUUAGUGCAGGCCCUUGCGGCCGUGAACGCUGAAAUAACGUCGCAUGGGGUGCUCAUCAAAAGCCUCAUGCAAAUGAUUGGCCGCUUAACCGCAGAGCCAUCGGAUUUAUCUCGAGAAGCUGGUCUUUUUUGUCAAAUCGAUUGUUGCUGAAUGUUGAGCUGGUCUGUUGGUAUCCCCCGCAGCGGCUUUAUGUUCGUGAAGGCAAGGAUGGAUAUUGGCAAUGAGAAUGAUCAAGUGUCUUAAGGGCAUUUGGUGGAUGCCUUGGCAUGCACAGGCGAUGAAGGACGUGAUACGCUGCGAUAAGCGUCGGGAGGUGCGAA
rnacentral:misc_RNA from 1 species